CAGAAGCGUGUCAGAAUGUAAUUAUGCAAAGCACACUACAUGACUCUGAAGAAAAUUAUAUUUUCACCUGUUUGCAAUCUGGUAGAAGAUAUUUGAAUAGGAAUCAAGUUAGAAGAUAUUUGAAUAGGAAUCAAGUUUUUACUUCUGCUUGAGAUGCAAUCCUUAUACAACAUAAUUGUUUCUCUAUUUCAAGAGAGCCAGCAUGGUAUUUUAUGGUACUCUUGUAAACAGAUUGGAAAAAAUGCAGCUGACAUUUCAAAAAUGUAGUCAGUGGCAAUAACACCAUAAACCAAUUUUUUCUGGAUGAAGAUCUUUUACCCCAGGGAAAAGCUGGAUAAGCUAAAUCAUUACUGUACCUUCGGAACUCUCCCUUUUUUGUUUUUCACUGGAAAAACAGAGUGAGAGGAUUACCUUGAGGUUGCAAUCAAUACUACUACACACCAGAAACAGAUGUUCUUGAAUUACUUGAUUCUAUUGUAACCAAUGACACCAAGCUGCCAUACCAUGGUGCUGGAAGUGCUGUCUGCUAUGCAGUUAAACUACAGGAUUACUAAUAGGAAGCAAAACCAAUCAGGACUGAGUACAUCCUGAAAAAAGUCAGUAAUUAAAGAAUUCCUUAAAGUUUCUGUAAUGUGGUGGUGGUUGUUAUGCAACUUAUUCUAGGAAAACCUUUUUCCAUGCUUACAGCAGCAGUAAAACCUUUUCUUCUUGAGACUUACAGAAAUAUUGCCCUGAGACAUACAUACCCUCUUUCCAGAGAAGGUUUUCUUCUUUAAUAGAGAAACUUUUGAUUUUAUUGAUCUUAAGAUUGAUUUUUUUCUUCCUUAUUUGGAAUAACUGAGGGGUGCAGGUUCAUGAGUUGUAUGCAGUGAUAAGUCCAACAGCCACUUAACUGCUCUGAAUUUAAUUUCUGGUAGGUAAUAUUCUAGUUGCUGUUGAUGAAAACUGAAACUUUCUAGGAUGUUAACAUUAUAGUCAAAGUUCAUUCUAAGCUGCAUGGGUUUAUUUUGACCAUUUGGGGAAAAGUAUUGCAUAGAGUUCCGUUCAUUUUUACUGGCAUAUUGCUAAACCCUGGGGAAAGAAUUUUUAAACAAGCCACAACUUUGUUUCAGCAUGCAGAUCUCACAGUCCCUCACACUCAUGCAAACAUGAAACACCUUCUAUUCUAUCUUAGGUAAGAAAAGGAAUUGAGUAACGUACAAAUCUACGCUCAACUGGCUUACUCCUAUAUUCUCAAAAUAGAAGGCCUUCAAACCCUCCCCCCAGGCCCCACAAACACACACACUUCUCUUUUUUCCCUGACUUACUUCCUGUUAUCACACACAGCCCUUCUCUUUGCCCUACUCCUUCCCCUGCCUGGCUCACAAACACACACACACGUUUUGCUUUACCUGCACACUUGCAGAAGCUUGUGCAACAGCUUCUUUUAGCUGCUGCUCAGACACCUAGGAAAUACCAUGCCAUUAUACUCUUACAAGGUUACUGUAUGGGAUCAUUUCAGUAAAACUGCAUUUCCACUGGGGAAGAAGAGAGAAAAUCUGAGGAGCUUUAAUUGGGAAAAUCUAAAACCCAUGUAAGUCAGAAAAUACCAUGUAUUCUGUUUUUUUUCCAAAUAUGUCCUCGUUGUUUCACUUAUAGAAUUCAUUCUGGAGAAUA